GGCGGCCCGGUGGUUACGGCGUCUCGUUACAGAUCAGAAGGUCAUGUGAUCGAAUCCCAGCACCGCCA